rnacentral:rRNA from 1 species
GACGAACGCUGGCGGCGUGCCUAACACACGCAAGUCGAACGGAAAACAUAGCAAUAUGUUUUUAGUGGCGAACGGGUGAGUAACGCGUAGACAACCAACCUUUUUGUGGGGGACAACGCUUCGAAAGGAGUGCUAAUACCGCAUACGCUCCAGAUGCCGCCUGGUGUUUGGAGGAAAGGAGCUGUAAGGCUUCGCAAAAAGACGGGUCUGCGUCUGAUUAGCUAGUUGGAGGGGUAACGGCCCACCAAGGCGACGAUCAGUAGCCGGUCUGAGAGGAUGGACGGCCACACUGGGACUGAGACACGGCCCAGACUCCUACGGGAGGCAGCAGUGGGGAAUCUUCCGCAAUGGACGAAAGUCUGACGGAGCGACGCCGCGUGAGUGAUGGAGGCCCUUGGGUCGUAAAGCUCUGUCAUCAGGGACGAACGGUCACGUCAGGAAAUGGGCGUGAAUUGACGGUACCUGAGAAGGAAGCCACGGCUAACUACGUGCCAGCAGCCGCCGCCGUAA